rnacentral:sRNA from 2 species
AUCACUGCUAAUCUAUCGCUGCUAAUCUAUCGCUGCUAAUCUAUCGCUGCUAAUCUAUUGCUGCCAACCUAUCUACCGCUGCCAACCUACCUACUGCUGCCAACCUAUCUAUCACUGCUAAUCUAUCGCUGCUAAUCUAUCGCUGCUAAUCUAUCGCUGCUAAUCUAUCGCUGCUAAUCUAUCGCUGCUAAUCUAUCGCUGCUAAUCUAUCGCUGCUAAUCUAUCGCUGCUAAUCUAUCGCUGCUAAUCUAUCGCUGCUAAUCUAUCGCCGCUAACCUACCUACCGCUGCCAACCUACCUACCGCUGCCAACCUACCUACCGCUGCCAACCUAUCUAUCGCUGCCAACCUAUAUAGGGUAAAUCAUGGUCCCAUUUGGUCCCAUUUUGUAAAAUGGGAUCAAAUGGGACCAGGAUCACUAAUUUAUUAGUAAAACAUGAUCUGGGACUAGAUUUAUAAUAUAAACAGUGUAAAGUGACUAAUUUGCUAAACACUAUAUGGGACCAGGACUAAGAUAUCUAAUAAUGGGACUGAGGAAAAAUUUGGUCCCAGUCCCAUGCAUGGUCACACGGCCAGUCUAAAGGCAAUCACAUACAAAAUGUAUGAGCCAUCUUUCUUCAUUGUAGCAAUAGAUAGGUCCCUGAAUAAUAUCUGCAUGGAGUCAUUCAAAGGGUAGUUUAGAUCAUAUAUGGGGGUGGUGAGAUAUUUGAUUCUUUGCUUUGGCAAGAUGACAAGGUUCACAGAGUUCUUUGUCUUCAGUAUCAUCAAUCUUCACAAUAUCUUUGAUAUUGAAUAUCUAAACCUCUUUGACAUUGAUUGGUAGAUGCUCCACUGCUCUCAUUAAAGAGUAUUCUAGUUAUAGGUG